GACAGUGGUGGCAAGCGUUGCUCGGAUUUACUGGGCUUAAAGGGCGCGUAGGCGGCUUUAUAAGUCCGAGGUGGAAUUCCACAGCUUAACUGUGGACCUGCCUUGGAAACUAUAAGGCUUGAGUCAGGUAGAGGAGGGCGGAGUUCCCGGUGUAGCGGUGAAAUGCGUAGAUAUCGGGAGGAGGGCCGGUGGCGAAAGAGGCCCUCUGGGCCUGUACUGACUAUGACGGGCGAAAGCGUGGGGAGCAAACAGG
rnacentral:rRNA from 1 species